GACCCUACGGGGCGCAGCAGUAGGGAAUCUUCCACAAUGGACGAAAGUCUGAUGGAGCAACGCCGCGUGAGUGAAGAAGGGUUGCGGCUCGUAAAGCUCUGUUGGUAGUGAAGAAAGAUAGAGGUAGUAACUGGCCUUUAUUUGACGGUAAUUACUUAGAAAGUCACGGCUAACUACGUGCCAGCAGCCUCGGGAAUACGUAGGUGGCAAGCGUUGUCCGGGUUUAUUGGGCGUA
rnacentral:rRNA from 1 species